CCAAUAGCGUAUAUUAAAGUUGUUGCAGUUAAAAAGCUCGUAGUUGAAUUUCGGGAUCAGACUGUCGGUCGUGCCUCGGUACGCACUGGCAUUAUUGGUUCCUACCUUCUGAAGAACCGCGAUGUCAUUAAUUUGGUGUCGCGGGGAAUCAGGACUGUUACUUUGAAAAAAUUAGAGUGUUUAAAGCAGGCUUACGCUUGAAUACAUUAGCAUGGAAUAAUGAAAUAGGACGUUUGAUUCUAUUUUGUUGGUUUCUAGGAUCGACGUAAUGAUUAAUAGGGAUAGUUGGGGGCAUUAGUAUUCAAUUGUCAGAGGUGAAAUUCUUGGAUUUAUUGAAGACUAACUACUGCGAAAGCAUUUGCCAAGGAUGUUUUCAUUAAUCAAGAACGAAAGUUAGGGGAUCGAAGACGAUCAGAUACCGUCGUAGUCUUAACCAUAAACUAUGCCGACUAGGGAUCGGAUGAUGUUAAUUUUAUAAUGACUCAUUCGGCGCCUUACG
rnacentral:rRNA from 1 species